UACGUAGGUGGCAAGCGUUGUCCGGAUUUACUGGGCGUAAAGAGCGCGCAGGCGGUCGUUCAAGUCGCGUGUGAAAGCCCCCGGCUCAACUGGGGAGGGUCACGCGAUACUGAUCGACUCGAAGGCAGGAGAGGGUAGUGGAAUUCCCGGUGUAGUGGUGAAAUGCGUAGAUAUCGGGAGGAACACCUGCGGCGAAGGCGGGUUGCUGGGCCGACACUGACGCUGAGGCGCGAAAGCCAGGGGAGCGAACGGG
rnacentral:rRNA from 1 species